AUUCACUUUAGCAGAUCUUCAUGUGCUCAGCCUCUAUGCCAAGGCCUGUGAGGGCUUCAAAAGGAGGACACAUGGGUUGGUUAAGUUUUCCAGUAUCAGCUCUUCAGAGAGCCUGGCCUUCACCACCCAAGCAGACACCCUCCCCCAUGCCCACCCUCAUCAUUCUCUGAAUAAGAGUCUCGCUCUGUUGCCCAGGCUGGUGUGCAGUGGUGUGAUCUUGGCUUCCUGCAACCUCUGUCUCCCAGGUUCAAGCAGUUCUCCAGCCUCGGCCUCCUGAGUAGCUGGAAUUACAGGCAUGUGCAACCACAUUCAGCUAAUUUUUUGUAUUUUUAGUAGAGAUAGGGUUUCGCCAUGUUGGCCAGGCUAGUUUCAAGCUCCCAGCCUCAGGUGAUCUACUCUCCUCAGCCUCCCAAAGUGUUGGGAUUACAGGCAUGAGCCAUCACGCCUGGCCGACAUGACACAAGUUCUGAGAGGGCAGAGAUCUCAUCUGUCUUCCUCACUGCUGUGUCCCCCAGCAACUUAGCAUAGUACUUGGCACAGAAAGCUCUGAAUAAAAAUUGCUGACUGACUGAAUGAGUAAAUGGAUGUCUCCAGAACCUAGCAAUGCCUACCACAUGGUAGGCGCUCCAUGAACCUUUUCUCAUAAUGAAUGAAGUCAUCAAGAAAGGAGACAGGAUUUGACCUGUGAUGUGAGGAUGUGAGGUAAUGAUCGUGAAGUUCAGUCCACUCAAAAAGCACCUGAGGCCAGGUGCGGUGGCCUAUAGAGGGGCAUUCAACCUUUUGUCUGUACAGAACAGGCAUUUUUUUUUUUCUGGCAAAUGCUCCUUAAAACCAUGUGGGGGCUACUAAUCAUGAAGUACUUCAGAGGUAUGGCACAUGCUCAAGUUGAGUUAAUCAGUGUUCUUCUUUCUUCUGGGCACAUUGACUGGUCUCUAGAUAGGCACAAAGUCCCGCCCAGGUCAUUCAGUGUCUUUUUACCACUCAUUUUCAGACUCAAGCGGAAGAAAGAUAUUCCUUUUUUCUCUAGUCAGAGAGCUGCAAGGAUGUGUGCCCAAGGCAGCUAUGUCUUCAAAGCUGGUCUGAGAGGAUGAUGCCAACAGGCAGAAAUUCAAAGGCAGGGGAUGGUAAGCAAGCCCCAAUGGCCAAGGGCCAGAGGACUUUUUCAAGGCUUAACUGUUCAGCUUCAAAUCUGUGAGUGAAUCUUGUGUCUUAUCAUAAAUAACCUCCCUAAAAAACAAAAACUUAAGUGAUUAGGUUGAAUCUGAGAAUCCCAAGUAAUACAAAUAUGGGUAGGUGAACAGGAGUAGGGAUGAGCUUUUGGAUAAAAGCACGAAGGUUAGAUUAAAUAUGAUUUUUAGGAAAGUUCAUAAUGAAACGCUUAAAUGAUAGGUGUUUAUGACCUUCAGCCAAUGUAUAUUACUGCUAUCUCUAGUAUGACCCUCAUUUAUACAGUUAGCUUUUUCCAUUAAAAUAGGAAAUGGAAUGUGAUGACAUGAGGAAAUACUUAGGAUAUAAAACUAAGUGGAAAAAGAUAAAUAUGAAUACAGAUACAGCUAGAGUACAACUAUAUAGAGGACAAUGAUGCAGUGAAAUUGCACAGACUUAGAGUCAUGGAUUUUGAUUUGAAUCCAGUUUCAAUUUCCUAGGGUGUGAACUUGAGCAU
rnacentral:lncRNA from 1 species